CAACGGUGAAGAUGGGUUAAUUGAGGUACGCGAAGACCUUAUCCUAGUCUNACAUGCACGGAUUACCCCCUAGAAACAGGGCCACGCCUUCGGGUGGAACGUGCACAGGUGCUGCAUGGCUGUGUCAGCUCGUGUCGUGAGAUGUCGGGUUAAGUCCCUUAACGAGCGAAACCCUUGUCACUAGUUGCCAGCGCGUCAUGGCGGGGACUCUAGUGAGACUGCCGGUGUUAAACCGGAGGAAGGUGGGGAUGACGUCAAGUCCUCAUGGCCUUUAUGACUAGGGCUGCACACGUCCUACAAUGCCACGCACAAAGGGAAGCAAACUCGCAAGAGUAAGCAAAUCUCAAAAAACGUGGCUCAGUUCGGAUUGCAGGCUGCAACUCGCCUGCAUGAAGCCGGAAUCGCUAGUAAUCGCGGGUCAGCAUACCGCGGUGAAUGUGUUCCUGAGCCUUGUACACACCGCCCGUCAAGCCACGAAAGUGGGGGGUAUCCGAAGUCGCUGAGGUAACCGUAAGGAACCAAGCGCCGAAGAAAANNCCGCGAUGGAU
rnacentral:rRNA from 1 species